rnacentral:tRNA from 1 species
AAGCCCCGGCACCUCCUUGGGUGCGUUUCCGGACUUGCAUUCCGGCGUGCUAACACCACGGGA